rnacentral:lncRNA from 1 species
CUGCAUGCAUAAGCCCCCAAAAGGCAAAAGCGCCCAAACACACGGCCCAAAGCCUCUAUGUGUGUUCAGAUGGACCCCAAAGGCCUCUCAUCUCAUAUCAUCUGUAUCACUGUAUUCAUCUCAUAUUAUAUGUAUCUCUGUAUCUGAAGGGGAAGGGUACUGUCCAAUGAUUUUCCAAACAAUUUUUUAUACACAUGUACAUAAA